CUUAAAGAGAGGACACGUGUAUUUGGUUUAAUACUAUCGGCAAACUGUUGAACUUCUCUCCCCUAUCCCUCUAAAGCAUGGACUCGUGACACUCAUCUCUCCAUCCUAUCAUUAGCUUUGGAAGCGAGAUUUUUCCUCCAAAUUCAAAACAAGUGGAACCCUAAUCGUCAUCUCUCAGGCUAUAUCAACCCUAGCCACGUCCUCUUACAUCUCCUUAUUCUAUUUUUUGAUCAUUUGUCGCAGUUUGACGUCUCUCUUUCUGUUUUGAGUGUUUUUAUCAUGUUCGCAAUUUCAUGGUAUCAAUCGGGAAUCUCACGGUCACAUCUCAGGUGUCUUCUGUAAAUUAUUUUUUCCUCCGUCAUAGUUAAACCUAAUAUAAAGUGUUUUGACAAACAAAAAACCCCAAUCAACAUCUCCCUUCUCAAGCAGAGAAGCUACAACAUUGGUUGAUUAAACCAUAGACUGACGUUCUUAUUUCAUUCGAUGGCAGGGGAUUCUAUCAGAUGAUGUCCAUGGUGAUUUUUCUUAUAAUUUUGUUUGGGUCAGACGGAAUAUAAUGAUAAGGGUCUCCCAAGAUGUUCUGCGAGUGUUUUUUUUUUCUCUGUAUCCAUAGUCCGAAAUUAUCAAACUUAAAAUCCAUUGAAUUUUGAUAUUGAAUAUGUAUGGUUUUGAGUGGAAUGAUUAAGAUCGAUUACUGUUUUAUUCCUAGGUUCAUGGAUUGUAGGUUUAUUUAUUAAUUUUUAAGUGUGCCCUUAUAUAGAAACGUUGGAAGCGUCCACUCUUUUAUGUCAAGGUUAUGCAACUCCUAGAAGAAAAGGUAGAAGACCUUGAAACGCUAGAGCUGACCAGUUUAACAAAUUACAUAAGCAUUGAUGGUGAUGGCCUCAAACAGAGGCAUUUGACGCGUGGACUAUGUAAAAAAAGGAAUCUAGUAUAUGCAUAUGUGGUGGAGACUAAAGAAAAAUAUGUACAUAAACAUUAGACCCCUAAUUCUAGAUAAGAAGAUUA